rnacentral:lncRNA from 1 species
UGUGACACCAUGUCAUUUACUUUAAACAUCAUGCUAAAUAUGCAUCAUAUUCCAAUAUUCAUCAAAGUCAACUUGAAAUUAUUUCAUUUGAAAUCUUUCAUUUCAUUGGGCCCUUGACCCACCAACUAUGCACCGGAUAGAGCUCUGCAUAAUAUCAAUAUCAAUAAUCAAGUGGCCAAUAUGAAAUUGACACCGGCGAGUGGACCAUACUCAUGACAUGCAUGAUUCUUGCUUACUAAGCAUUGGCUUAUAUAGCUUUUGCAUUGUAGGUGAGCAUGGAACUAUGUAGAGGGCACGGCUAGCUAUGGAGCUCUUACGGGAUUCCAAAGAUCAAUGUACAUGGAUGACGACUUAGGUCGAGGAGUCAAAGAUCAUCACUAUAUAAAGAUUUUAAAGCCUCGAUGAUAGAACACACGUUUUUAAGAGAAAGUAAUUAGGAAGUUGAUACAAAUGACAAUGUAAUUAGCAUAGAAUGCAUGAAUCAUAUUGGCCAAAUGUAGAACGUGAAGUUCGG